GACGAACGCUGGCGGCGUGCCUAAUACAUGCAAGUAGAACGCUGAAGGAGGAGCUUGCUUCUCUGGAUGAGUUGCGAACGGGUGAGUAACGCGUAGGUAACCUGCCUGGUAGCGGGGGAUAACUAUUGGAAACGAUAGCUAAUACCGCAUAAUAGUAGAUGUUGCAUGACAUUUGCUUAAAAGGUGCAAUUGCAUCACUACCAGAUGGACCUGCGUUGUAUUAGCUAGUUGGUGAGGUAACGGCUCACCAAGGCGACGAUACAUAGCCGACCUGAGAGGGUGAUCGGCCACACUGGGACUGAGACACGGCCCAGACUCCUACGGGAGGCAGCAGUAGGGAAUCUUCGGCAAUGGACGGAAGUCUGACCGAGCAACGCCCGCGUGAGUGAAGAAGGUUUUUCGGAAUUCGUUAAAAGCUCCU
rnacentral:rRNA from 1 species